UGGCAAUUGCCUGUAAUGUUCUGGGGCC
rnacentral:piRNA from 1 species